rnacentral:rRNA from 1 species
UAACACGAAGUGAGUGGCGAACGGGUGAGUAACACGUGGGUAACCUGCCCAGAAGUAGGGGAUAACACCUGGAAACAGAUGCUAAUACCGUAUAACAGAGAAAACCGCAUGGUUUUCUUUUAAAAGAUGGCUCUGCUAUCACUUCUGGAUGGACCCGCGGCGUAUUAGCUAGUUGGUGAGGUAAAGGCUCACCAAGGCAGUGAUACGUAGCCGACCUGAGAGGGUAAUCGGCCACAUUGGGACUGAGACACGGCCCAGACUCCUACGGGAGGCAGCAGUAGGGAAUCUUCCACAAUGGACGCAAGUCUGAUGGAGCAACGCCGCGUGAGUGAAGAAGGGUUUCGGCUCGUAAAGCUCUGUUGUUAAAGAAGAACGUGGGUAAGAGUAACUGUUUACCCAGUGACGGUAUUUAACCAGAAAGCCACGGCUAACUACGUGCCAGCAGCCGCGGUAAUACGUAGGUGGCAAGCGUUAUCCGGAUUUAUUGGGCGUAAAGC